AAAAGAUUGCAUAGAAUCUCCUCAAAAUCAGAAACAACAACAAAAUGAACAAGAUGAGAUCUUUGGCCCAGAGACAAGAUCACACUUGCCUGGCGUCUCAAGACUGUCUGGGAAGCCAGGUCCACACAAGAACAUGAGACAUCUGUCAGUCCACUUGACAGCAGCAAGGAUCUCAUACCAGCCAUCUAGGAUAAAAGCAGCCUCUACCAUUUCUGCAUCUCCAGAAAAGAAAACACCAUGACCUCUGUUGAAAAUUUACCAGCACCCCAACACAAUCCAUCAGUCUGACUGGAGU
rnacentral:lncRNA from 1 species